rnacentral:rRNA from 1 species
GUAAUCUUUAAACUGCAUCGUGAUGGGGAUAGAUUAUUGCAAUUUUUAAUCUUCAACGAGGAAUGCCUANUAAGCGCGAGUCAUCAGCUCGCGUUGAUUACGUCCCUGCCCUUUGUACCACCGCCCGUCGGUCCUACGAUUGGGUGUGCUGGUGAAGCNUCGGAUUGGCGUAGNGGGGGGUUUCCCCUCCUCUCCNANNGANGUUCGUUAGNCCCUCCCACGUAGAGGAAGAAGAAGUGGUAACAAGGUUUUCCGUAGGUGAACCUCNGGANGGNUCAUUG